UACGUAGGGGGCAAGCGUUAUCCGGAUUUACUGGGUGUAAAGGGGGCGCAGACGGCAAUGCAAGCCAGGAGUGAAAGCCCGGGGCCCAACCCCGGGACUGCUCUUGGAACUGCGUGGCUGGAGUACAGGAGGGGCAGGCGGAAUUCCUAGUGUAGCGGUGAAAUGCGUAGAUAUUAGGAGGAACACCGGUGGCGAAGGCGGCCUGCUGGACUGCAACUGACGUUGAGGCCCGAAAGCGUGGGGAGCAAACAGG
rnacentral:rRNA from 1 species